UUUUAUUUCACCUCCUGGCCAACUAUAAACAUGUAGAUGACUUCCAUACAAGCCAUCAGCAACGUGCUGAAGAUUGAAACCUUUAGAGAAGGCUUUAGGUGCUCCCCAAGAUGUGCUGAUCAUGGUCUUGUGCCGAGGUUGGUACCAAAAAUCAUACCCAUACAAAGGACUAUGUCCUGGUUUCUCCCACCUGAUACAAUAACCAACAAUGAUAUAUGACUAAUAGCGACAAGAAACUAAAACAGAAAAUGCUUUGUUUUGCAAUAAGAUACCUAUUCUUGAUGUUAAAAUCAGAGUCAAGAAGAAGAAACCCAUUCCCCUUAGCAUUCCCCUCUUCAUCUCCAAGACAGGACACCAAGAUCUCGCCCGUGGCGAGGCAAUGAGCCGUGUGAGGAAACGCCAAUCCAGUCUUAUCAGCAAUCUCUUUAGGAUCAACAUACUUAUACAAAGACGGAGCCCUCGGGUUUUCCUUAGUAUCAAUCGCAUAAAUGCGACCAGAUCUUCAUCAAAACAAUAUUUAUCUAUUCAGUCAAUAAACAAACUCACAGAGAGAUAUAAGAGAAGAAUCAAAAAGACUAAAGAAUCUUUACAUAAGAGACGGUAACACGAGAUAACGUCUAUCAACAGAAGCAUCACCAUGGCAAGAACUACAAGAGUUCCAACCAGAAUGAUGAAGCUCAUCACCAACAAAAGGCAUUGGUAAUCUAUGAAUAACACUUGAAUACGAAGGCGAGCUUGGAUCUACAUCCACCGUCGCCAAAUAAUCCGGUUUAUCUAUUCCAGUUCCUUCAAAGCCAAAAAGAUAUCAGAAUCAAGAUUCGAUUUGGAAUAUUCAAGAUUCCGUGAAGAUUCGAUCUGGAUUCUAAAACAGUAGAAAUUUAUGACAAAUCAAAUCAAAUGUGUACCGGUGUAGACGGCGGUUACGUAGAUAAGUUUCUCCGAUGGACCAGACAUAGCGGCGAGAGGAGUCGCGUAACCAGGACCACCGUACUUGCAACAUCCUUUGCUUCCGCCGUUGCUUACCGUUACCGGAGCUACAACUUCCGUUUCCGUCGCCAUCUCUCUAUCUCUCUCUAUGUGAAGUCAAAUAUUGAAUUGUGUGUAUAUGGUAGUCGUUAAGCUACACGUCUCUCUCUUUAAAGUAUAUCGCAAACACACAGUGACAAGCUUUUGGCUAUUUGCGAGUGAACUUGAUUAGUCCUUGUAAUUAAAUUAAUGAAUCACAUUACUGAAAAUUAUAGUAAGUUAAUUGAGAUGUAUUUCGAAUUAAAAUACGUCUCCAUGCACAAAAUAGAUAACAUAAACAAUUAACCAGAUCUUGUCCAUUAACAAAAUAACAAGAAGAAGAUAACAAAUCUGGUCCAUGUGUCCACGUACACUGUAUCUGACGUGUUUUUGAGUUGAUGAUCCAUAAUUCGACCCGGUUUUGAUCGGUUCAAUUCGGUUACUCGAAAGAUAGAGACACACAACAUAAAUAGAAAGUUUUAUUAUCACGGAAUAAGCCACAAAGGAGUAAGAACAACUUUAAUUGUCUUGAUCACGAAUCUAGCCACAAAUCCAGCUUACACUCUUAGGGAGCCAAAAUCAGAUCCAGAUAUCGGAAGUGCAGUCUCCGCCGGGAUAUCUCAUCUCGUGAGCUAGUGCAGGACCGUCUGGUUCAUCACCAAAGUCCACAAAGAAGUCAGGGUUUAGAGUGAGACCACCUUUGUCUGUAUCAACAUCGAUUUGAAUUAUGUGUGAGCCUUUCUCCAUGAUUUCCGGGUAAAACUGACGGUCCCAUGCGCUAAAUAGCGAGUUUGUCGCAUAUAAUCUUUUCCCAUCUAGGCUUAGUUGGAUCAUCUGAGGUCCUGCUCUUAGAGACUUCCCCUGAAAUCACCAAGACAGUUUCAAUAGAAUGCAAAUUGUUUAAACUUUGGUUAAAACGCUCCAAAAGAUUAUAUUUUGGUUACAAACCUUGAUCUGAGGAACAUCGAAUUGGUAAGUAUUACCAUCUUCUCCAACAGCCUUAUAAGGACUACCCUUUUGUAGUAAUCCUCCGACCCAUAUUUGUCCGGUUAAGACCGGGUUUUUAGGGUCUUCGAUGUUGUACUGACGAAUGUCUCCAUGAAGCCAGUUCACAAAGUAGAAAAACCGGUCAUCGAGGGAGAUCAAGAAGUCGGUGAUAAGCCCCGGCAUUUCUGGAAGUAUCCAGUUUUCGACUUUCAACGGUUUAACCGAUAUAACAACCUAAAACAACACCAGUUUAAAUCACAAGUUAAUCAUAGAUUUGAGAUAAGACAAAAGAAAAAGAUUUAGAAACUUCACUUGCCUCAUGGCUCCACGUGUCAUCACUGUUCUUGAAAAACCUUAUCAUAUUACUAGACAAAGCACUCCCAACAUACCCUGUAUCUUUAGAAGGAUCAUGCAAGAAUCUGAUCUGCAACCACAUAACAACAAAAACCCAAUAAGCUUACAUACUUGGUUACUAACACAGAUCAUCAACAUUUAUGUUGGUGUAAUGUUACCUCAAGAGGUAAGAGACCGGUAUUUCCAAGGUCAAUUAUCUGUUUCAUUUCACCUUCAGGCCAUUGAUAAAUAUGCAAAUGACUUCCAUACAAGCCAUCCGCAACAUGCUGGAGAUUGAAACCUUUGGAGAAGGCUUUAGGUGCACCCCAAGAAGUGCUGAUCAUGGUCUUGAACCGAGGUUGGUACCAAAAAUCAUAACCAAACAAAGGACCAUGUCCUGGUUUGUCCCACCUGCUUUUGACAUUGAAGUCAGAGUCUAGCAAAAGAAACCCGUUCC
rnacentral:lncRNA from 1 species